UGGUGUUUGGACGAGCUUGUGAAGAUCAUGGAGGCCGCCAAGGACAAGCGUGUACACCACCACCAGACUUUUCCCGUUUUCUACAAAGUAUCUCCCGACGAAGUCUCCGAUCAGUCAUCGGGAUGCUACAAGAAUGACUUCGAUCUGCACAAGAGAAAGUUCAGCUACGAGCGAGUGGACAAUUGGCGCCACGCACUUACUUCAAUUGCCGAUGUUUCCGGCUGGGUUCUUGGCCCCAAUGACCACAGGUAAAAUAGAAACUAAUCAGCAAGCAGAAAUGAAAUUUGAAAUUACAAGAAGCUUAUUGGUUUGAAAUAAUGUUGGUGCAGAUCUGAAGCAGAAAUGGUUGAAACUAUAGCCAACGACAUAUUAUUGAAGAUCCAGCAGCAGGCUCCGUCAACGACGGAGGGAGAGUCGAAUCAGAAUGAACGGCCCGUGUUCGUUCCUGCUUUCCAGGCGCCGGAAAGAGCAUUUAAUGAUGAAACGACUGCUACUGCAGGAGACGAGCCAGCUUCUUCUUCAUUCCCUGUAAGUACAACAGUAGCGUGAAAACUAUGCAUGUGAUCAUUGGCCUAUUAUUACAUGUUGCUUUUGUUACUUUGUGUGUCUGUAAAUUAAAUAUGAACUAUAUGAAUUUUCUCUUCAACCCUAAUUGUACGUUUAUUUCUAGAAGUCAAACCUACAUGAUUAACAUUUUGGUAUAUUACAUAUAGUUCUGUUUAGGUACUUAUAAAUUACCUUUUGAGCAAGUCGGGAAUGAAUCUAUUGCAAAUAUAUAGCAACUCAACUAGUAUAUAGUAUCUAUUAUCAUUUUAAUAAUUAUUACAGUAAUAUUCAUAACUUCAUUAAUUAUCAAUUUAGUGAAAUACUUACAACAAAUACAUAGCAAACUAGUUAAAUCACAAUCCCUCCACCCUUCCCGUCAUAUAUAGUUCCAAAUUUUAAAAUUUGGAGAAUUGAUGACGGUAGCUAGACUGAACUAGUUGUCUCAUUGUCACAUGAACAGGACGACAUUACCGUUGACCAAAGCUAUGAGGAGUAUGAGGAGGCGGCUUCAAAAGAUGUAGACGACAAUCAUGAUAGAGAUUCUGAUAAUUACAAGAGGAAGCUGUGGACGUCUAGGAGCUGUACGACCAACACCUGCAACAACAACAACGAUCAUACUCAUCGCGAUCAUGAUGAAGGCGAGCAGAAACUGAAAUACAUAAAACCGAUAGUCUCACCGGAAGGGAAAAAGACAGUCCGAAUCCCCAAGGUCGUCGCUGAAGAAGAAGUCAAAAGGUACUGGGACCUAUCUUUAGUCGCCCAGCAGUUAUCCGGGCGUCAAAACAUAACCAUCAUCCUCACGGAAGCUAAUAGGCUGUGGAACAAGAUAUCGGAGGCAAACAAGGAGGGCAUAACAGGGGUGAAAGUAGUAGCAACAAGAAAAGGCUCAUUAUCUUCUUACAUAUUCACCUUCUCCAACCAAGACCUCCGCGACUGGGUGGUGGAGUCAUCCCCGUGGUGCAUCGCUAACGCCACUUUUGUUAUGAGGAAAUGGCAGCCGAAUGUGCAGCUCUCCGACCUGUUGGACCGUUCAACCAUUCCGAUGUGGGUUAGGCUAGUCGGGAUUCCUAUGGAGUACAUGACUGCCAAAGGGUUGAGCUACGUAGCCAGUGCGCUUGGGAAGCCUGUUUACAUGGACAGAGCUACUGCCACCCGAUCUCGGCUAGCUUUUGCUAAAGUUUGUGUGGAGAUGAAGCUCAACAAGGAACGUUUCACAAGUAGCAUAGUGGUUGCCAUUGGAGAUCAGGAUAAAAACGAAGAAGGAGGUGGGGAAGAAGAAGUUGUGGUGCUAGUUGUGAGGGUCUUCUACCAAUGGAAGCCUUGUAUGUGCAUUAUUAAUCCUUCCCACAAGCCGACGACCACCUCAACGACGACUUCUUCUUCCUAAAUUAUUAUUAAAAUUACGUAAAGAUAAUUGCCACAUUUUCUCCUCCACACAUACACAAAGACGACGACUUUACAAAAGACAAACUAUAUGGAAGGUUCCUCCGAUGUCAAGUGUUUAUUUUUCAGUUAUGGCCUUUUAAUUUAAUUUAAGUCAAGUGUCUACUAUCUAGAGAGUCUUGUGGAGCUACUGGUUAUGCAUGUAUCACGUAUGUAUAUAUGUCUUGAGUCGAGAUCUUCAGACUGUAAUAUACUCUUUUAUGGUUUGUUUUCAGCAUACAAAUUCACCAAGGAAACUGUCGUAUAAUCCAACCGUAGACUUUUCCGUCCCACUUUCAAGGCACUACUACUACUGGCCACGGGCAACAAUGGAAUUAGGAAAUAAAAAAAAGGUUGUAA
rnacentral:lncRNA from 1 species